AUAAGCAGCAAUAUGCUAAGCAGGGCUGUGCCCGGUUAGUACAUGGAUGGGAGACCAACUUGAAAGACCAGGGGCUGCUAUC
rnacentral:rRNA from 12 species